UACGGGGGGGGCAAGCGUUGUUCGGAAUUACUGGGCGUAAAGGGCGCGUAGGCGGCCUGCUAAGUCGAACGUGAAAUCCCCGGGCUCAACCCGGGAACUGCGUCCGAUACUGGCUGGCUUGAAUCCGGGAGAGGGAUGCGGAAUUCCCGGUGUAGAGGUGAAAUUCGUAGAUAUCGGGAGGAACACCAGUGGCGAAGGCGGCGAUCUGGGUCGAUACUGACGCUGAGGCACGAAAGCUAGGGUAGCGAACGGG
rnacentral:rRNA from 1 species